CAACAACAACAACAACAAAACUUAGACCACAGGACUCAUCCCACUAGGUUUCACUUAUGCUGAUGAUGUCAUAGCUGUGGGACUGGGCCAAGACUUCUAGCUCAUCCAUUUUAUUCCUCAUACUGCGUGCGUUUGUGUAGAAGCACUUCAGAUGAGCCUCCCUACAUACAGCAUCUUGUGGAGCCGACCGAAGGUCCUCACUGGCCCACAGUCCCUCUGAUUCUAGCACACCAUCCAUUAGCUCAUCACCGGCAUGCCUGGUAUUAUCCCCUUCCCCCUUCAACUCUAGUUUAAAGCCCUAUCUAUCAGCCCUGCCAUCUCCUGACCAAAAAUCCUCACCCCUCUCUGAGAGAGGCGCGUCCCAUCUGGUGCCAGAAGGCCUGGUGUCAUGUAGACCUUCCCGUGAUGGAAGAACCCAAAGUUCUGUCGGUCACACCAGUCCUGAAGCCACAUGUUAAUGUAAUGAGCCCACCUGUCAGCAUAGAGCCCCCUUAUCGGAAGGACAGAGGCAAACAUAACCUGUGCCCCCGAUCCUUUAAGUAGUCACCCCAAAGCCCUAAGGUCCCUUUUGAUAGCUCUUGGACUUCUCGUUGUUACCUCGUCAUUACCAGUCUGAAAGACCAGUAGCAGGUAGUAGUCAGUAGGCUGUACCAGGUGCUUGACUUUCUUAGCAAAGUCUCUCACCCGAGCCUCAGGGAGGCAACAGACAUCCCUGUGGGUUGGGUCCAGUCGGCAUAUCGGGCUCUCUGUCCGUUUCAGAAGGGAGUGCCCCAUGACAAUAACCCUUCUUUCCUUUUUGACAGAUGAUGUAGCAAUGCAGGGGGUAGGUUGCCUUGC